CCCACUUCCCUACCGCCGCCGCCGCACUCCAUCCCCGCCGCCCUGCCGGCGCUCCACCACCUAUGUCCCCGCCGCCCUCCCGUCGCCGUCCUCGCGCUCCAGCGUCACCCUCGUCCUUGCUGCCAUCGUCUUCACGCUUCCCCCCACCCCAUCGACACAUGUUCCCUACCACGGCGCCGGGGUCGCAGCCGCCGAUACACCGACCUCGAGAUCCUUCCGUCCACCGCUCCCAACCCCAUUCCACGUCCCUGUCUCCCCGACCCCAUCCCAUCCUUCCUUCCUUGGAGUCACAGCCGUCGGCAGCUCCGUCCGCCGUCGCCUUGACCGAGCACGCCCAACCCCCCCUUCCCCACCCAAAGACCAAGUCAAUGCCGUUUAGAUAUUCUAGUGCCGCCGCCAACCAGCGUAGGAGACUGCCAUCUGCAAGCGCCAGCAUCUCCAUAACUACGGAAGCACCUCCAGCUGGAGGGGGUGUGCGUUGUUAGGACCAUUAAACAGUCAGAUGCGAGCCAUAUAUUUGAUAUUAAGCAAGUUGUCUGAGGAUGUUCACUACCCAGCUAAUUUGAGCUCCCCGUUUCCAUAUGCAGGGUGGUUGAUGCAUGUCUUCACAUUUUUCAGAGCAACAUGCAGUGGAAGAAGCAGCCUAUGAACUGGAAUAGUUUGCAUAAGAAAUAAGCGAUGUACUCAGCCACCUACUGCGCAUGGAUGUGAUGACUUCGGAGUGUUAUGCAGCAUUUGGCUGUUUCGAGUAUUUUGGACCAGCCAACUUGUGAUCGUGAAUCUUAUGUGUGUUCUGGACCAUUUGCUACUUCAAGUGUUUUGGAGCAUAUAUCUUGUGCUCAUGGGUGUGACUUAAGUGUUUUGGACCAUUUAGUGGCUGAACACUUUUAGAACAGUAAAUAGUGGUCCUUUUAUGUGGCUUGUGUUUUCUGGAUGGUGGUUAAAAUGGCCAAACUUUGCUUUGUCAAGAUUGUCUUGUUUUUGAACUUCUGAUCAAUAUAUAUGUAUG